rnacentral:lncRNA from 1 species
GAUCUUGAUAUCUAAACCAGCGGUUAAUUAAUUGUUCACUUAAAGGGGUCAGCAUCCUGCCAUGUGGCAGGACAUCAGGUUGGACCGAGCUAUAUUCGAAAUUGUGGGAGGCUGGGUUGAGCCAAGUCGUGUUCGAAGUGGCGUGAGGUUAGUUGGGCCAAAUCAAAAUCGAAACCCGUGAGCGCUAUGUUUGUAUACUUUAAAUGAAUUUAGUUAUGUAUUUCUAAAAAUUAGAGUCUCUGAGAUUAUUGGUUAGCACCAACGAUCUGACGUUAGCUACCGAGACUACAGAAGUAUG